UGUCAAACGACGUUCGUCGCUAUCGCGAAGCAUCCACGACUUUACAAGGAGCUAAUUCUUUUCGAGUUGAAUAUUUUGUCCCUUUUGGAUUUCAGAUAAUUUUUAAUCAUCGAUAAUUGAAAAGCUUGAGGCAGAAGGCACUACUUCGCGCUACUUCGCGAUGUGCGUAGAUGAAUGCAUAUCGGCGCGCGGCGUCACUUCGAUUUGAUACCGAUGACGAUUCGUCUCUGCUCGUUCGUCGCAAGGAUCGAGUAAAGAAAGAAAUCUGAAAAAGGCGUUCUUCUGUAUGGCGUCGUUUGAAGAUUGCGAUCCAGGACAAGCAGCGCUCGUUGCUGUUGCUCGCUCGUUCUUCAUCGAGUGGAAUGUGACGGAAGCACUUGGACAAUACGCCCACUCAGCAAGAGCAAGAUUAAGAGUGUGGAAUAACACAUGAGUUGUCGAAUACACAUACGUUUUCGGAUGAUCGCGUUUUAAUUAGUCAUUAAUUCAGUUUUAUUAAUAGCACAAUAUCGCAUGCUAUUAGAAUAAUAACAUAAUUUUUUAAUUAGUGAGACAUUGCGAUUGUUUCAAUACAAUUUCAUUAUGAUGUAAAAUGCGCGUCGCGUGUGAUCGUAAAUAACCGUGUUUUCGCGACUAUUGUGUUAUGCAAGUGCAACGAAUGAAUCCGAGAAGAAGAGAAAAAAGCCUGGGAAUGUUGGAUCUGUGAAGUUAGCACGACGUUCUAUUAAUAUGAAAA